CCUACGGGAGGCAGCAGUAGGGAAUAUUGCUCAAUGGGGGAAACCCUGAAGCAGCAACGCCGCGUGGAGGAUGAAGGUUUUCGGAUUGUAAACUCCUUUUUUUAGAGAAGAUAAUGACGGUAUCUAACGAAUAAGCACCGGCUAACUCCGUGCCAGCAGCCGCGGUAAUACGGAGGCUGCAAGCGUUACUCGGAAUCACCGGGCGUAAAGGGCGCGUAGGCGGGAUAGCAAGUCAGAUGUGAAAUCCUAUGGCUUAACCAUAGAACUGCAUUUGAAACUGGUAUUCUAGAGUAUGGGAGAGGUAGGUGGAAUUCUUGGUGUAGGGGUAAAAUCCGUAGAGAUCAAGAAGAAUACUCAUUGCGAAGGCGACCUGCUAGAACAUAACUGACGCUGAUGCGCGAAAGCGUGGGGAGCAAACAGGAUUAGAUACCCCGGUAGUC
rnacentral:rRNA from 1 species